CCUACGGGCGGCUGCAGUGAGGAAUAUUGGUCAAUGGCCGGGAGGCUGAACCAGCCAAGUCGCGUGAGGGAAGACUGCCCUACGGGUUGUAAACCUCUUUUGUCAGGGAGUAAGGUGCAGGUCGGGACCUGCUGUGAGAGUACCUGAAGAAAAAGCAUCGGCUAACUCCGUGCCAGCAGCCGCGGUAAUACGGAGGAUGCGAGCGUUAUCCGGAGUGACUGGGUGUAAAGAGUUGCGUAGGUGGCAUAAUAAGUAGCUAGUGAAAUCUGGUGGCUCAACCAUUCAGACGAUUAGGUAACUGGUAAGCUCGAGUACAGUAGGGGUAACUGGAAUUUCUAGUGUAGGAGUGAAAUCCGUAGAUAUUAGAAGGAACACCAAUAGCGUAGGCAGGUUACUGGAACGGUUCUGACACUAAGGCACGAAAGCGUAGGGAGCAAACGGGAUUAGAUACCCUGGUAGUC
rnacentral:rRNA from 1 species